rnacentral:rRNA from 1 species
CCUACGGGGGGCUGCAGUGGGGAAUAUUGCACAAUGGGCGCAGGCCUGAUGCAGCCAUGCCGCGUGUGUGAAGAAGGCCUUCGGGUUGUAAAGCACUUUCAGCGGGGAGGAAGGCGUUAAGGUUAAUAACCUUGUCGAUUGACGUUACCCGCAGAAGAAGCACCGGCUAACUCCGUGCCAGCAGCCGCGGUAAUACGGAGGGUGCAAGCGUUAAUCGGAAUUACUGGGCGUAAAGCGCACGCAGGCGGUCUGUCAAGUCGGAUGUGAAAUCCCCGGGCUCAACCUGGGAACUGCAUUCGAAACUGGCAGGCUAGAGUCUUGUAGAGGGGGGUAGAAUUCCAGGUGUAGCGGUGAAAUGCGUAGAGAUCUGGAGGAAUACCGGUGGCGAAGGCGGCCCCCUGGACAAAGACUGACGCUCAGGUGCGAAAGCGUGGGGAGCAAACAGGAUUAGAUACCCCGGUAGUC